GCUCUCGCAGGCAGCUCCGCUUCCGGCUCGGUAGCUCGCCGCGGGAGCUCUCCGGCAAUCUGAAGCGCUCGGAGCACGGCGGUGAGCGGAGGUACCUGCGACCGGAGUUUUGGCCCCGCGUCUCUAAAGCUGUGCUUUUAGAAUAGCAUGUCAGCCAGCUUCCUCGGCACCUGCCAGCUGGCGAGCCGCACACACGCGCACACAGUCCGGCUCUCGGAGCAGGGGUGCUGCAAAAUCUGGAUCUGGCAGCAGUUCUCCCCUCGCCGCGCAGCUCCCUUCCCCGAGCGCUCCUCGCCGCGGGGACACUCGCUGUCAGCCAUGGGGAUUCAGCACCUUCCGCCGACUCGGCUGGCUCCGCUCUCUGGAAAGCUCGCCCGAGUGCUGAGCAGCGAGACCACAUCCAGCGUGACUAUUCCCGCUGCCUGGAGCCGUCUCGCUGCCAAAUCGCGGUGUAAUGGGAUAGUAUUUGGCUGCAUUUUAAAAGAACAAGAUACUGGAUGUGGGUUAUUGUGACUUCGCUUAUGCACCGUGCUCAAGGCACAAAUGCAUGUUUGAUAGGAGAGAUUGUUCUCCCUCAAGAACAUAAAAUUUUGGGUUCAUACUGGGAGAAAAAAAAGAAAGAAAAUGCACGAUAAAUUUUUAAAGUGCUAAUACAGCAGUUUGCAUUAUUAAAGGAUUUUUUUUUAUAGGGAGUUAGAAGAAUUUAGUCUCUAGAUUAUACAGGUUUGCUGCCAAAGACUGCUGGACUUGGCAUGAUUGGUGCUGUCAUUUUGUAUUAGUUUUUAACCGUUAAGUAUCAGAGCCCACACUUUAGAGGUAUCAAAAAUGCAUUGCCUGUUCUUACCUGAAAUUAGGAACAGCAGCAGCACCCUGCAACAGCCAGCUCAUAUGCCUUUGCAGAGCUGCUGAGCAGGGAAGUACUGAAGUUGGGAUUUAAGAUCAGAGCUGCUAAAGCUUCCCUACUUAAAAUGUGGAGAGGUUGUAGAAAAAAACAGGAGUAUCCUGCUCUGGAGUGUGCUGUUGAGGUGGUGCUGCACCAAGCUUGACAAGACUGGGAUUUUGAGAUGCUGCUCCUUUCAAACCAUGUUUGUCCAGCUGAGUUCAGGAGCAAAACUGGCUAAGAUCAGGGAAGAUCACUGUAGCAGAUAUAGAGUUUUAUAGCACUAACACAGCAGCAGCCAGAUUAUUUUGCUGGAAGUUUUUUUGUUUGUUUUAUGUUUAAUUUCUCUUUCAGCAUUAGAAUACAUUAUCAAAAGAUGAAGAAAAAUUGCACCAGUUUCAGAAUAUUCCUCAUCUUACAGGAGGGGCACGAACCUAAGGGGAGAAGGAAGAACUGGGCUCAGGUUGAAUUUGUUUUAUUGAAGGGAGUAUGCUCAGAUGUACCCUUUCCCACGUGGACAUGCAGCAGAGGCACACACAUGUUGCUGUAACCUGCCUUCCCUGCAUUGUCCCCAGACAGUCCUCCACAGCAUGGCCAGCACUCCAGGCUUGCUGCAACACACAGUGGAAGCUGAAGGCAGAAACAAGUCCUCUGCAUUUCCUUCUCAACUCGCAUGUGAGACAGGCUGUCCUGCAAUAUGCUAUGGAGCUGACAUCCUUUCUUUCUCACAUCCCCACUAAAUGCUGGGCAAACAGAACUGAGUGUUAGCCAGAGUAUCAAGGCAAAAUUCAAGAUAGGUAAUUAAAUUCUGUUUACUGAAUAUUCUCUUUAAUACAAUCUGCUAUUCCUGUGAGUACUUUAAAAAUCAUGGAAUGGUUUGGGUUGGAAGGGACCUUUAAGAACAUCUAGUUCCAACCCCCCUGCUAUACGCAGGGACACUUCCCUCUAGACUCCUGCUCACUGCCCCAUCCAGGGUGGCCUUGAAUGCUUCUGGGGGGUGGAGGGGGGGGGGGUGUAACAGAUUAUUCUUUUGCCUCAAAAUUUGCCUCAAAAAUUGCCUCUUUUGCCUUCAUUGUCUCAAAGCCUGCUGAUGAACAAGUCCAAGCAAGUCCUGGCCAAGGGUUGAGCAAUCCUUUGUCUGAACACUGAUGGACAAGUCCUGGGCAAGGGCUGCAAAAUACUAUGCUUGAGGGACACAGAUGGACAAGGCCAGGGGCAACAAGAGAUAAACCGCAGAUUAAUGGCUGGGAAGCAGUCUUUUCUGUGGACUUAUCUCGAGGGAGAUGGCCAUCUCAGGAGGUGCUGUGCAUGGCUCUUACCCAAGGGCCCAGGAAUGCCACAAUGGCAGAAGAUAAAAGGGGAUAAAAAGGGGACCUACAACCAUGAUAUUAGAUUUUCUGGCAACAGAUUUCUUAUGAAACGAGGUCUUUUCAGACAUGAGAAGACUCAUGUCCUGCCUCUCUCCCUCCUGGACAUACUCUUUUUCUGCACCUUCUUGCUGCCUAAGGCCGGCCAUGCUGCUGUUGCUCUCUCCCAAAAGGUUUCUGACAACAGACUCCUCAUGACCUGAGACCUGCACACGGAACAAGAACAAAGAUGUCUGCCAUCAGAUUCCUCACUACGGAAUACCCACAUGCUGAUGGACUCUCCUGGGCCUGCUACCUGAGUCCUGCUGCUUCCUCCCAGACUUACCCUGUGGCUUCUUCCUGCUCCUGCUUGCUGCCCAAGGCUGGCCAUGCUGCUGUGCUUUGCCCUCAGAGCAUCAGGACAGCAUGCAAGGGGACAGCAUGCAACAGGACUGCUGCUGGAUCCUGGUGGUUACUAUCCCCGCUUUAUGUAAUUCUUGUUUCUUUCUUAUCUUUUCUA